GCAAAAGAAGUAGGUGGCUGGACCUUCGGGAGGGCGCUUACCACUUUGUGAUUCAUGACUGGGGUGAAGUCGUAACAAGGUAACCGUAGGGGAACCUGCGGUUGGAUCACCUCCUUACCUUAAAGAAGC
rnacentral:rRNA from 1 species